rnacentral:rRNA from 1 species
GGAGGGGGCUAGCGUUGUUCGGAAUUACUGGGGCGUAAAGCGCGCGUAGGCGGUCAAGUAAGUUGGUGGGUGAAAUCCCGGAGCUCAACUCCGGGAACUGCCUUCUAAAACUGCUUGACUAGAGGCAGGGAGAGGAGAGUGGAAUAUCCAGUGUAGAGGUGAAAUUCGUAGAUAUUGGAUGGAGCACCAGUGGCGAAGGCGACUCUCUGGCCCUGAUCUGACGCUAAGGCGCGAAAGCGUGGGGAGCAAACAGGAUUAGAUACCCUGGUAGUCCACGCCGUAAACGAUGAGAGCUAGUUGUCGGGAAGUUUACUUCUCGGUGACGCAGCUAACGCAUUAAGCUCUCCGCCUGGGGAGUACGGUCGCAAAGAUUAA